UACGGGGGGGGCAAGCGUUGUUCGGAAUUACUGGGCGUAAAGGGCUCGUAGGCGGCCAACUAAGUCAGACGUGAAAUCCCUCGGCUUAACCGGGGAACUGCAUCUGAUACUGGAUGGCUUGAGUUCGGGAGAGGGAUGCGGAAUUCCAGGUGUAGCGGUGAAAUGCGUAGAUAUCUGGAGGAACACCGGUGGCGAAGGCGGCGUCCUGGACCGGCACUGACGCUGAGGAGCGAAAGCCAGGGGAGCAAACGGG
rnacentral:rRNA from 1 species